rnacentral:misc_RNA from 1 species
GAUGAAGAACGCAGCGAAAUGCGAUACGUAAUGUGAAUUGCAGAAUUCAGUGAAUCAUCGAAUCUUUGAACGCACAUUGCGCCCGCCAGCACUCUGGCGGGCAUGCCUGUUCGAGCGUCAUUUCAACCAUCAAGCCCCAGGCUUGUGUUGGAGCCCUGCGGCUGCCGCAGCCUCCUAAAAGCAGUGGCGGGCUCGCUAUCACACCAAGUGCAGUAGAUUUCUCUUCGCUCAGGGCGUGUGGCGGGUUCCGGCCGUGAAACCCCCUACUCUUUAAGGUUGACCUCGGAUCAGGUAGGAAUACCCGCUGAACUUAAGCAUAUCAAUAAGCGGAGGA